GUCACAAACGGAAGGAGGGGAUCCACAUGGCAGGAAGAACAGCUGAUUAUUGGUAGGGUUAAAGGCCUAGUCCGUUGGAGGACGUGAAGCUGAAGAGGAUGUUGUGGGUAUGAAGACGAGUCCUUGAUUGAUUUAAGUGUCCAGUUCCAAGAAGACAAAGGUGUAAAACCUGGAAAGCAAAAGGUGGUAAUCCUGGAUGACUAGAGGCCUGGCUGCCCUUUCAGAAGGCUAAUGUAUUCAUGUUUGUUUUAGCCUUCUCUUCCAUGGGAACCAUAAGCCUCCAGUCACAUUUAAACAAUUCUGGGCCCUGAUGACAAUGUGAAGAAAUUGGACACCUGAUAUAAUGGCAAAAUAUCAGGGCACAAGAAGACUUCUGGCAGAAGAGACGGUUUAAUAAGAUAUAUAUGGAAGAAAAGAAGCAUUUGAGUAUUCAGUUUCUGUAGGUUACCAAUACUACUGUGGUUCAGUUAA